rnacentral:rRNA from 1 species
GUUCGGAUUCAUUGGGCGUAAAGGGCGCGUAGGCGGCGGGGUAAGUCGGGUGUGAAAUCUCAGAGCUCAACUCUGAAAUGGCACUUGAUACUGCUCUGCUAGAGGACUGGAGAGGAGAUUGGAAUUCACGGUGUAGCAGUGAAAUGCGUAGAUAUCGUGAGGAAGACCGGUGGCGAAGGCGGAUCUCUGGACAGUUCCUGACGCUGAGGCGCGAAGGCCAGGGGAGCAAACGGG